GACAGAAGCCCAGUGGAGUGAGAAAGAGCUUUGUGCUGGUUGCUGGGACUCCAUCAGGACAAGGCCCUGAGGUAUUUGCAAGUAAAAAAAAAACAGUCCGGGGUAUUGUUACGUGGAGAAACAUGUUUUGUCGGCCUUACUUUCUAACAUCAUGAAGAACCUAAAAUCUUCAGUGGUGCUUCUCACAUGAGGGUCCAAAAGCAGCAGAUAACUAUAGGUCUGAUCCAAAGGCUACGGAAGUCAAAAGAAAUUUCCACUGACUUCAACUCAGGUCUUAAAUACAUAUAGCUCCACUGAAACACAGCCAUCUCUAGCAUAAAGGAGUGGACCACAUCCAGCCUGACUGAAUUGGCCUUCAACACUGGUUUUCCACUUGUAAGAAAGAAGACACCUACUAUCAGUUAUUAUUCUGUGUCAAAGCAUUGACUGCCUUUGAAGUAAAAGGAUAGCACAUCUCAAAUUCUUUGGGCAUGACCCUGGAAGUUGGUGAGAACCAGCAGCACCCAUUGUUGGAGGCAUCAGGGGCUCACAGGACCAGGCCCGUUUUGCACAUGUUCUAUUGAAAAACUGAUAUGAACUUGGGGAAAGUAAUUUGUGGCAUUUGAAGGACUGACACCUACCAGAGCUCUGUCUUGGAGUUACCUUUAGCAAACGUGUUAGCAUGCGGGACCUGAUGGCAGAAAUGGAAUGCAGUCUGAAGAGAGAGUCGGUGAGAGUAAUGCAGACACAUAACUUCAUAUCAGAGAUGGAAGUCUGCUUGAUUAAAGAUUUUUUGUCGAUAAUGCAGACUUAUUGCAGGAAGAGGUGCCAUGUGACGGUGCCUAAGAUGUUGCCAGUUGCUGAGACUUCUAAAAUGUCAUUUCUAAAUAAAAGUUUGACCUUCACAA